rnacentral:lncRNA from 1 species
UAUCUAUCACUGGCUUGACGCUUCCAAACCCUUGUAUGGAUAUUGUUCUAAACUUUAUUUGUGAUGCAUACCAUGACAAAAGUGGAAAUUGGGUUAUGCCUGAGUCACUGCAAAUGAAGAAAGAAUUGUCAAGCCGCUGAGAAGUGUUUGAACUAAAAAGCAACCAAACUAAGAACAGGCAUUUUAUCAGACAUGAAGAUUGUUCAGAUAUUCUAGAAUGGAUACAGAGAACACAAGGCUGAAACAAUGAAUUGUCAUUUAAUAUUCACUUCCUUGGUGCUUGAUUUUUGCCAAAGCAUCUGAUAUGAUCAGACAGAACUAUACUUGAGUAGGGAUAAUCUUCUCCUUACCGGCCAAAAAAUCUCAUCAUAGAGUUUGUUUCUUUGGAUAGGUUAGCUUUUAAGGCUCCAGCUUACUGCAGCUUUUAUGUUGAGUCCUAUAAUUCUUUUCUUGAGAUGAUGUCCCAAGUAGAUGGGCACGCACUAUAAUUCAUUUCUCUGUUUAAAAUGUUGGCUUCAAUGAUUGGGAAAUACGCCAUUUUUUGGUCUUGUAUUGGUUAGAUUUCUCAUUUGAUAGUUUACAAUGUUUGUAUUUAACGACAUACUGUUCGUUUGGUAAAUGGACCAAAUGAAUGCACAAUCUAAUUCAAGAAUAGGAUGUUCAAAUGAUU